rnacentral:rRNA from 1 species
CGUAGGUGGCAAGCGUUGUCCGGAAUUAUUGGGCGUAAAGCGCGCGCAGGCGGUUCCUUAAGUCUGAUGUGAAAGCCCCCGGCUCAACCGGGGAGGGUCAUUGGAAACUGGGGAACUUGAGUACUGAAGAGGAAAGCGGAAUUCCACGUGUAGCGGUGAAAUGCGUAGAGAUGUGGAGGAACACCAGUGGCGAAGGCGGCUUUCUGGUCAGUAACUGACGCUGAGGCGCGAAAGCGUGGGGAGCAAACAGGAUU